AUUGAACGCUGGCGGCACGCCUAACACAUGCAAGUCGAGCGGUAACAUGUUUAGUAGCAAUACUAAAUGAUGACGAGCGGCGGACGGGUGAGGAACACGUAGGAACCUGCCCAAGAGAGGGGGAUAACUAAGGGAAACUUUAGCUAAUACCGCAUAAUCUCUGAGGAGAAAAGUUGCCCGUAAGGGUAGCGCUUUUGGAGGGGCCUGCGUCCGAUUAGUUAGUUGGUGAGGUAAUGGCUCACCAAGACUGUGAUCGGUAACUGGUCUGAGAGGACGACCAGUCACACUGGGACUGAGACACGGCCCAGACUCCUACGGGAGGCAGCAGUGGGGAAUCUUGGACAAUGGGGGCAACCCUGAUCCAGCGAUGCCGCGUGGGUGAAGAAGGCCU
rnacentral:rRNA from 1 species